CGGGACACGUGGUAUCCUGUCUGAAUAUGGGGGGACCAUCCUCCAAGGCUAAAUACUCCUGACUGACCGAUAGUGAACCAGUACCGUGAGGGAAAGGCGAAAAGAACCCCGGCGAGGGGAGUGAAAAAGAACCUGAAACCGUGUACGUACAAGCAGUGGGAGCACGCUUAGGCGUGUGACUGCGUACCUUUUGUAUAAUGGGUCAGCGACUUAUAUUCUGUAGCAAGGUUAACCGAAUAGGGGAGCCGAAGGGAAACCGAGUCUUAACUGGGCGUUAAGUUGCAGGGUAUAGACCCGAAACCCGGUGAUCUAGCCAUGGGCAGGUUGAAGGUUGGGUAACACUAACUGGAGGACCGAACCGACUAAUGUUGAAAAAUUAGCGGAUGACUUGUGGCUGGGGGUGAAAGGCCAAUCAAACCGGGAGAUAGCUGGUUCUCCCCGAAAGCUAUUUAGGUAGCGCCUCGUGAAUUCAUCUCCGGGGGUAGAGCACUGUUUCGGCAAGGGGGUCAUCCCGACUUACCAACCCGAUGCAAACUGCGAAUACCGGAGAAUGUUAUCACGGGAGACACACGGCGGGUGCUAACGUCCGUCGUGAAGAGGGAAACAACCCAGACCGCCAGCUAAGGUCCCAAAGUCAUGGUUAAGUGGGAAACGAUGUGGGAAGGCCCAGACAGCCAGGAUGUUGGCUUAGAAGCAGCCAUCAUUUAAAGAAAGCGUAAUAGCUCACUGGUCGAGUCGGCCUGCGCGGAAGAUGUAACGGGGCUAAACCAUGCACCGAAGCUGCGGCAGCGACGCUGAUGCGUUGUUGGGUAGGGGAGCGUUCUGUAAGCCUGUGAAGGUGUGCUGUGAGGCAUGCUGGAGGUAUCAGAAGUGCGAAUGCUGACAUAAGUAACGAUAAAGCGGGUGAAAAGCCCGCUCGCCGGAAGACCAAGGGUUCCUGUCCAACGUUAAUCGGGGCAGGGUGAGUCGACCCCUAAGGCGAGGCCGAAAGGCGUAGUCGAUGGGAAACAGGUUAAUAUUCCUGUACUUGGUGUUACUGCGAAGGGGGGACGGAGAAGGCUAUGUUGGCCGGGCGACGGUUGUCCCGGUUUAAGCGUGUAGGCUGGUUUUCCAGGCAAAUCCGGAAAAUCAAGGCUGAGGCGUGAUGACGAGGCACUACGGUGCUGAAGCAACAAAUGCCCUGCUUCCAGGAAAAGCCUCUAAGCAUCAGGUAACAUCAAAUCGUACCCCAAACCGACACAGGUGGUCAGGUAGAGAAUACCAAGGCGCUUGAGAGAACUCGGGUGAAGGAACUAGGCAAAAUGGUGCCGUAACUUCGGGAGAAGGCACGCUGAUAUGUAGGUGAAGCGACUUGCUCGUGGAGCUGAAAUCAGUCGAAGAUACCAGCUGGCUGCAACUGUUUAUUAAAAACACAGCACUGUGCAAACACGAAAGUGGACGUAUACGGUGUGACGCCUGCCCGGUGCCGGAAGGUUAAUUGAUGGGG
rnacentral:rRNA from 1 species